rnacentral:rRNA from 1 species
GACGAACGCUGGCGGCGUGCUUAACACAUGCAAGUCGAACGGAAAGGCCCUGCUUUUGUGGGGUGCUCGAGUGGCGAACGGGUGAGUAACACGUGAGUAACCUGCCCUUGACUUUGGGAUAACUUCAGGAAACUGGGGCUAAUACCGGAUAGGAGCUCCUGCUGCAUGGUGGGGGUUGGAAAGUUUCGCCGGUUGGGGAUGGGCUCGCGGCUUAUCAGCUUGUUGGUGGGGUAAUGGCUUACCAAGGCUUUGACGGGUAGCCGGCCUGAGAGGGUGACCGGCCAGACUGGGAGUGAGACCCCGCCCAGACUCCUAGGGGAGGCAGCAGGGGGGAAUUUUCCGCAAUGGGCGAAAGCCUGACGGAGCAAUGCGGCGUGGAGGGAGAAGGCCUACGGGUCGUGAACUUCUUCUCCCGGAGAAGAAGCAAUGACGGUAUCUGGGGAAUAAGCAUCGGCUAACUCUGUG